rnacentral:rRNA from 1 species
UACGUAGGGGGCAAGCGUUGUCCGGAUUUAUUGGGCGUAAAGAGCGUGUAGGCGGCCAUGUAGGUCCGUUGUGAAAACUCGAGGCUCAACCUCGAGACGCCGAUGGAAACCAUGUGGCUAGAGUCCGGAAGAAGAGAGUGGAAUUCCUGGUGUAGCGGUGAAAUGCGCAGAUAUCGGGAGGAACACCGGUGGCGAAGGCGGUUCUCUGGGCCUGUACUGACGCUGAGGAGCGAAAGCGUGGGGAGCAAACAGG